rnacentral:rRNA from 1 species
ACAUGCCUACAACAUAACGUUAAUGCACCAGAUCCCAUUAGAACUCCGUAAUUAAGCAUGAUUAAGCUAGAGUAGUACUAGAAUGUUUAACUGCUCGGGAAGUCCUAGUGUUUUACAUGCC